rnacentral:lncRNA from 1 species
AUAAAGCAUAGUAGAUAAAGAUAGGUGGGAAGAAACCUGAAGGAAAAUGAAAAAAUGAUAACAUUUGGAAGUCUCAAGGGAAGAAUAGAGAACAAUAAAACAACGUACUUCAAGAAACUCAGUGCAGGUCUGAAUCACUUCAGAGUGUGAGAGCUGAGCAAUAAAUAAUGUGGGCAACAGAAUUUUUAUGCUUGGUGUUCUUCUUUCUCUUUUUAAGUUUAAGUUGACUUAUUCCUGUUGAAAUGUACUCUACAUGACUUGGAGCAGGCUGAGGCAACUGCAGAUUCUAAACAGUAAUCUUUUAUAAUUCAUGCAAGACAAGUAAGACACCAGAAGAUCAGGAAGAGUAUGUCUUUCAACAGGAUAAAGGAACUGUAAGAGGUCAUUCUUUUACGCCGUUGCCUCAAAGCUUGCUGAGGGACACAGAUGAACAAGGUCAAGCAAGUCCUGACCAAGGAUUAAGAAAACCUUCGUCCUGAAGGGACAACAGAUGGACAACGCCUGGGGCAACGAGAGAGGGUAAGUGGCAGCUAAAUGGCCAGGAAACAGUCUUUUGUGUGGACUUAUCUCAAGGGAGACAGCCAUCUCAGGGGGGGCUCACAUGACCAAGCGCCCAGAAAUGUCACGUAGGCAGGGAAGGAGGAGGAUAAAAGAGGGUCCAACAACCAUGAAGUCAGGAUUCUGAUAACAGAUUCCACACGACCUGCCUCUCCCUCCCGGACUUCGCUCUGUGCUCUACCUGCUUGCUGCCUAAGGAUGGCCUCUCUGCUGCUGCUCACCCCUCCGAGAAGGUGUCUGCCAUCAGAUCCCUCACUACAAAAGGCCUGCAUGCUGACUGACUCUCCAGGGCCUGCUACCGGAGACCUGCUGCUUCCGCCCAGACUUCUUCCUGGACCUACUCGGUACCUGCCUGCACCUUCUCGCUGCCUAAGACCGGCCACACCGCUGCUGCUCUUCCCCUGCGCUUUUGCCCCGGACCAUCGGAACGUCGUGCAACGGGACUACUGCCGGAUCCUGGUGACCUAUGCCUUCAGCUUCAGUGAGCACAGUUGUAGAACACUGUAAGGGAAAAUGGUACACCGUCUGGGAUAUGCAAGGGACUUUGGCUCUUAAUUCAGAUUGUUGUAUAGUGUAUUUAAAAAAAAAAGUCAGCAAUGAUUUUCCUAGGAAUCUUUUCAGUCAUAAUAUUACCUUCAUCUUACUCAUUCCCCAGUCAGUCUAAUUCAGGCACUCAAAUAUGCAAGGUAUGUAAAAACUAUGAUAAAUGUAUAUAUCAACACACGUUAUAAGCACCACUUGAUAUUCUAAUAAUCCAAGUAAAGCCUAUUUUUAAUACAUGAGAGCUGCUCUGAAAGUAAUGCCUCCUAUUUGUCCUAUUGUGUUUGUUGGUCCAUGAUGUCACAGGCAGAUGGUGGUGGUAUGGCAGUAGAGGCUGAACCUUCUCACCAAUAUCCCAUUACAUUUUGUUGCCAUGUAACAGAUGGCAACAAAGGGGCAGUCUGACAAAAUGACAUCUGACAGGGAAGUGCUUCUGAAAUAAAGGUCUGGGGUUGAAUUCCUUGAUGUGGAAAAAAUGACACCCAUUGGCAUUCACUGAUGUUUGCUGAAUGCUGAUGGAGACCAAGUAGCAGGUGUGAGCACAGUGACACAGUGAGUGGUGUGUUUCAGCAGUAGCAGCACCAACUGUGUCACCUCAGCUGGUGCAGAUUUUUCUGAGUGCAGCAUGCAGGUUCUUGUUCAUUGCUGGUGAAAAUAUGUAGUUAAUGAUGGUGCCUAUGUUGAAAAACAGGUUUUUUUGUAGCUGAGAAUUUGCUCUAUCAAAUUUGUAGCUAUUGUAGUUUCCAUGGAAAUAAACAGGAGGCAUUACUUUCAUAGAGAAUUAAGUAGAGGAGAAUGACUUCAUUUAUUCCUACAGGUGUAAGUUAAGAAGCAACUGUCAUGAAUUUAACAUCAAUUUGUAGCAAUUAUUGGUCUGGGCAUUAUAUGCUAACACUGCCUGGCUUCAAAUUCAAAUCAAGGAACACUCUGAUGUCAUGAAUUUUAUUUAAAAAUAUUUAUCACUACACACUACUCUGAGGUCUAGAAACAGAUUUAGAACUUGGGGAAAGAUGCAAAUGAAAAAUUCUAUUGGAAAAACAAAACUACUGUUUAAUGCUCGAGGCCUUAGUGGCCUUACAUUUGUAAUUAACCCAGCAAGAACAAAAUCCUCAUACUAAAGGCUAAACAUAACUCAAGGACUCUUUCAGAACAAAACAGUGCUACUGAAAUGCUGAGUUCUGAAUGCUCAUCAGAUCCUGGGUGAAAGCCAAGACAUCUCUGCUUUAUAUCUGAAGAAACUACUAUUAAGAACCUAAGAAUCACUGUCAUUCCAAAGCGUACUUCUGCUUUUUGAUUUCUUGGUUUCAGAACUGAGCUCAAGGCAGUUAGAUCAUUGAGCAGAAAGCUCCUGGCCACUCUGUAGUACCAGUGUAGUCAGUGGGAGCCAGACUUGCUCAGAAAACCAGCAAUUUGUGUCUCAAGUUCUGCACCCAUAGUCAAAAACUGACUCAGUAAGACAGACUGAUUUUCUGUUUUAACUCUCCAAUAAAAACAGUCUUUCCAGAUCCUGAAUUUGUCUUUUACGUGAAAUAGACUUUUCUGCCCAUUGCAUGUAAAUGUAAACUUUCUUGGAGAAACUUUAUAAGUAAGCUCACAGAAUAUUAGAAUUCCAUAGCUAUUCUUUUCUACUUUUUGGAAAAAAAAAAAAAUAAAACCAACAUCUGAUAUGUGGGGAGCAGAAUAGCUAAAUGUUAUAGGAUGUCACAUAUAAUCCAUAUGCAUCUUGAUUAAACUAUCAAUGUAGAACUCAAAUGUCCAUCUCUAUUAUUUCUUUCAGCGUCUUUUCACUUAGUAUUAGAAUGAAGAUAUUAAGAAGGCCCAAAAGGUACAAUAGUGCCCCUUUCCUUUUGCCAACAGUCUUAAGAGUUCCCCCCCCCCCCCAGAUUUCCCCUUCAAUAACAUUUAUUUUGAAGAAUUUUAACAUCAAGGGCAACAUGGUACCCAGUUAUUUGACUAAGUAAGACGAAGGGAAGGCUUCACACACUGCUGCAUAUUAAGUGAAAGUGUAGGAAUAAUAUUUUCCAAGACCUAGAUAGAACUGAAUUUAAACAAACUCUAAUGGUUGACCAAUUUGAGAUGCAAAUGAGAUGUUUCACAUCGAGGCUGUUGUUGAUGAUGGUGCAUUGUUUGUGACUGGAUCUCCCUCAGUGCUUGCGAUUGCUAUUAAUGCAGUCUUGGAAACAUUUUCAAGAAUUGCUUUACAUGGCCCUAGCAGGGGAAAGAGAAAUGGAAAGUCUGCAACAGCAGAACAAAUCUUUCUAGAAUUGAGUUCACUCUGAAAGUUGGCUACCACAUCUAAUAGAACAGGAUGGGCUCAACUGGUUUUGUUUGUUUGUGGCUUGUUUUUUUUUAAUUUAUGCAAAUUAUUUCUGUCAGGUAAUAAGGUAAACAGAAAGAAAUGCUGAGACUGCAGCACAGACUGGAAUACUGUUGGUAAGCUCUGCUUACCAUCUCUGAAUGAGGUGUACUCUUCUUUCCUUCUUGAUUUGAAUGAGAGCUAAGAGAUGUUCCUGUGUUUCAGACCAAACAGGAAGAUUUAUACAACUGUUCUUAAAAUGUGCUUCACCUCUUGUCAACCUCAAGAACAUUUGCCUUUUUUGCAGCUAUUCCCAUUCCUCUCAGUGACUCCCAGAGGUGAUCUAUUCAGCAUUAGUCAAGGCUGUAGUAAGAAUCUUCCAAAAGUAUUUUGCACUCUGCCAUUAAUUCCCUCGCUAUCUGCAAGUGAACCACUUCAGGCAUGGCUGCAACAUACAGUGAAGUAUAGCAUGGAAAUUCCAAGCUGAUACAUUUGCAAAGCACCACUUAAUAAGGAACAGAAAAUCAUGAGAUCUGAAAGCAAUCUGGCCACAUCUGACACCGCUGUGCCAGACCUUGUAAAUUCAUUCUUUUAUCAUUACAGUUCAUUUGCUCAGAGGCUGUGCUGAGAUUGUUCUGGUUCUGAAGCAUCUAUGAACAUUAUUACCCCAAGGAAGUAUGUUUCACACUUCACUGCAGUGUGCACUUCAGUGCAGACAUGCCAACAGCCUGCCCUGGCCUUGAAAUCCUACCUGUAAUCCUACCUGUAAAGUAGGGACAAUGAUUUGACCUAUAAAAUAUAAAGUUGCAGAUAGUAAUGCAUUUUGACAGUUUCCCUACAGUUCAGUAUAGUGAUGAGGGCCGGAGGAAUAAUGCAGAUGUUUGAGCACUGUUGCAAGACUGCAAAGAGUCCUUAAAUUUGAUUCCUCAGAGUCAGUGGAUACUUUUGAAAGCAUCACUGAUUUUUCCAAGUUCUAAGGUGAUUGUAAGGGCGGUACUGAUUUCAGGGCCUGGAUUCAGAAAUAUUAAAAGCCCUGACCAGCCUCACCUGUGAAAUCCUCCCCAAUUCCUCCACAGUCCAUAGGCUCAAGGGCUCCAGGCCUGGAAGUUCAGUCCUUCUCUGAGCCAUGCUGCAGAGAUGCUGGUUCUCAGCACUAACAGGGUCACUCAGCCUCACAUCACAGCACUAUCUCAUGCAGACUUUGUUGGGACUGCCAAGGUGAGGCAAGGUCUCAAUUCUUUUGCCACGUUGCACAGUCCUAACUCAGACCCUUCAGGUGUGUAUGUGGCGGGGAACUCCUUGGCUUUCCCACCCCUCUUCAUGGGCAGCUAGCCCAUGUUGUUCCCUGACAACUAGCAGUAGAAUCAAGAAAGCCUGGGCCCCUGCUUUACAUUUUUAUCGAGACACAUCCUACCCUCUUCAAAUGCCACGUGCAGCUACCUCAAGACUGGUCAGUUGGUUACCUUCAUCCAGUUUCAACCAGUAGCCUCAUGCUGUUUCUCUGGUCUCAGAAUAGUUGAGAAACAAGGUGGCACCAAUGACACCGAGAGGCAAGACACAGAAAGCUUCAGUCACCCAAGUCUUGAUGGCACUGAAUUAGAAAUUACAAUUAUUUGUGUUCUCAAUGUUAUAAAAACCCUGGGUUUGUCCUUCAUGUAGCUAGAAAGGUGAGGAAAUUGAUAGUCUGACCAUGUGGUGAGGAAGACAGAAACAAACUCCAGCCUUUGGAGAAAUUAAUUCUUGGAGACCGAAAACCUAAAAUUAUCCAAAGGAGAAUAUUGUGUAACAUUGUACUGUAAAUCACUAACAGAUACCUCUACACCUAUAUGUUUAUCUUAGAUGCAAUAUAUAUUUUCUUAAUUAUUUUCUGUUUAUCAUAAAACUACCGAUGAUAGGUAGCUUAAGAUUAGAUUGAGACUCAGUUUUUUUGCUUUGCUCUUCAGACUUCUUUAAAACAGGGUUUGAUUUUCUUUUGACCCAAUCUGUCUGAAUUCCAAAUCAAUCCAGAGGUAAAAGAUCGUGUUCACUAGUUUACUCUUUCAGUGUUACAGGUGGUGGAAGAUGACUCCAGCGGGGAGUUGCAAAAUUAGCAAGUUUGUUUACUAACUUUUUAUGCAUACCAUGGAUAUGACUUCUCCUAGUCAUUAUUCCUCCCAUUUUAGGAGAUUCACAUCUAUUCAUGUGCACAUAAGUGUUAGCUAAUUGGAAAGUUUAAGUCAAAAGCAGAUACUUGCAGCUGUCUGCUUGUAUAGAAAGAAACCUCUCCUUGACAGGUUCUACAAAGUAUCAGUUCGGGUCAAGUUGAAUCAUAAUAAUUGUUCUGCUGACUUUAAAAGGAACACACUCUGAUGAUGUUAUUACUGUAGCAAUUUGGUGGAAACCCAAUGCCAUAAAAUCCUGGUUCCUACUGUUGUAUCUUUUUCUACAUGAGCUCUCAUCUGCUUUCUCACUAAAAAUAGAAUAUUGCAUAUAACUACUGCAAAUGCUAACUCUUAGUAUCAAACAUCUUUCUUUCUCCAUCUGGUGUUUUAGCUCAAUUAACAAAUUAGAACAUGAGUGACUGAUGUAGAAAUAAUAGUUAUACCUACUUUCCUUCUCUGAAAGGGCUCAGUUUGUAACAAAAGUGCAUGCACUUUAAAAGUGCACUGAAGGUGUUAGCUCGGUGAUCCUUACUACAUCUCUACAUGGUAGCAAUUUCUCUCUGUUUACUCAUUUUGCACAGUAAGAGAGAGAUUUAAUUUUUGUCAUCUCAUGGCCUCGCACAGGAUGAGGGUAAGUGACAUCUUUUGUGUAGUGGCACGUUUAUGCAUUGUGGCUUUGUGCUUUUCAUGCUAAAUUUAAAAGCCAAAUUUCCAGGAUAGGGCCAGUGCAUUAAAGUAUAAAGUUUACUCAGAGACAUAUAAUAUUUGCAAUUUCAAGAGUUUUCCUGUGUUUCUGUAUACAGUUGUUUCUGCUCUAUGUCGUUUCUCCUUUGGUAUUCCCCUACUUUGAUUACCUCUGCACUCCUUAAGUUACAGAUCCUGGAUCGCUUUAAAAUGGAAAAGCCUCAAGCAGCGUUCAGCAACGUUCUCUCUCUUUUAUUAUUUACUGGAAUGGUCACUGUGAGAUCACUGCCUUUGAAGAAGAGUUAGGACAAAUCAUGAGGUAAAACGACUAAGGCAAUCAAGUGAGCUGGAGUUUGUCAGCAAAACUGCAAGCAGGAUCCAGAGAAAAUCCUGCUUUAAAACCAAAGGAAAUCCAGAUUAAACAGGAGAAUGUGGAGGAAGCACAAUGACAGCACAUGAAAUGUAAGAGAAGGUUCUUCCUGCACAUACUAUCAUUAUUUUGCAUAGAGAUAAAUUCUGUUACUCCAUGUCAAUUCUCUGAGAGUGCUGAAGACCCUGCAAUCACUCUGGAAGAGACUUCCGUAUCUGCUUCUGCAGACUGUCUGGGACCGUUAAAUGACCAAAUAUUUAUCUGUGGUUGAAAAAAUGACAUAUUUCUUCUUGUUUGCUAUCUGGCCAUGUUGUUUGUACAAGCACCCUCAGAAGUGUGCAGAAGUAUACAUACAGCUGCAAGGAUAUCACUGAAAGGUAAACAGACAUUUGAAGAACUUACAAUCAAAUGCUUAACCUGGUGUAACAGUGACGCCAUCGUCUUCAUGCAUGUUAACAAAUCUCAAAUCAAGAGAUUUGAUUUUGAUUGUUUUGCUCAUGAUUGCAGCUGGAAAGAAGCACUAGUGUCUGCAAGAUAAAGAGAGCAAUCAAGUUCCACUUCUAGGUCCUAGGAUGAAAAAAAAAAAAGGCUCCUUCAAAGGAGGAAGCCUAUAACUGAUAUACCACUCUGUCUCCUGAGCAUGACAGUGAAAAAGAAAGGAUUUCAUUGCACCAAGAAGAGGACAACUCCUUCUGAAACUGUUAUCCUCAGAUGGGAACUACUGUGCAAAAAUUCAUCACAUUAUUUGAAAACGACUUGCACAAGUGUAUGCCCUGAAGCAAAACAUGAAUAUAUGUAUGCUACACAUAAUUGGCAUGGUAAUAUUAUCCACUGAAAUAUCUAGGUCUCUACAUCAAGCUAAACAUCACAGAGCUAUAAUAAACAAGUAAAUAAAGAAGUGGUGAUUAGCAAACUGGAUUUAUGUUCUUAAGUACCUGAUGUGCUGUAAGUCAGUUCAUACUCACAUCCUAAAGCAGUUUGUGAAAUGUAUAUCUAUUUAAAUGACAUUUACAAAACCUGUUUAUGCUUUCAACAUGAUAAAUUCAUCUUCAAUUACUUGGAAAAAUAGGGCGAGUAUUUAUAACCUGUUGUUCUUUUUUCAUAAAAGAAAAACCCAUGCCCAGGCAUUCCUAGUAUUUCUUACUUACAGUAUGACAUCCACAGUGUUCAUCAGAGUACAGUGCAGUGCUGUGCACCUGUAGGAACUGUUGCUUAAUUUCACAGCUUAGGUGCCCAAAUUAAAUUGCACUGAUUACCUCUUCGACUCCUAUAUUAAAAAUUACCUUUGGUGGCUUUAAUAUAGAUACUCAGGAAGGUUUAAAUUUUAAAUGGAUGACCAUGGGUUAAGCUUUAUUCCCUGUCUUAUUAGGAAUUAUACUAAAAAAGCUCUAACAGACUCCCCGUGUAUUUGCAAAAAUCUUUCUGGUGACACCUUAUGACAUCUUGUCAAAAUCCUCACUUUAUUCUUGCUAGUUUUACAUUAAGUUGCUGCCUGCUGGAAAUAAGUUUUAUCACAGCAGGAGCCUAAACCAACAUUUAUUUCAGAAAUCCCAAGAAAACAUUCAGAACUAUCACAGUUAUAGAAAUAUGUGCCCCACAUCUUCUGUGGGUGGAUAGAUACACGCCUGCAUCCGGAAGGCUGGAAACAGGUUUCAGCCCCUGACUGCGGAUGGCUCUGCUCAGAAAGCUCAACUACAACAGUCUUCAGCCAUCUGCUUGUUGCAAUCAGAUCCACUUCAAAGUGUCACAAUCUGACCUUUGUUAUGGCAACAAUAACUUGCAACGGAUGCUCAAGCCAGCUGGUCUGCAGAGAUCCUAGAUCGCCUCAGUGAGUUUAGAAUGACCUUUUGCAGUGCAGACACCAGAAGUCAAAGAGGUGAGCUAUCAUGUUAUCACAGAGAUCUCAGCAUGCUCUAAGGAGCUUUUUUUAGCCUAGGACUGAAAAAAGGGACUCCCUUUAGUGAAUCCUUGAGUCAGCUUUUUACUUCUGUGGUAGAGCCCAAAUGCAUUCUCCUUUCUCAGUUUAAACUUCACAUUUAAUAGAAAUUGUUUUUAUAACAAACAUUUAUGUAAAACCUCUUCAAUAAACUAGGUAGGGCUUCCUGUUAUUCUUUCACUGCUGCUUAGAUUUGUGGUGCUACUCUGAG